ACAAGCCCGGCUAAUCCUGCCUGCCAUCUUAGGCUCGCAGGAGCAAGAUACGCAAUGCAUGCAGCACACGAGCACCGGGGAAGGAGGAGGCAAGGGACAGCUCACCUUAAAUGCAGUAUCUGAUUAAUGUUGUAAGUGACAUUGCAUAUCAGCCUCAGAGUCUUGGUUCAACUGAGUAGGAGGGAACAAAGAAAAAUGUCAUCAACUGCUGAUGCAAGAUGAGCCCAAUCACUAAACACUGUUUAGCAAACUCCAAAUUCUGCAACCAGACAGUAGAAGGCAUUUCACACACUUAAGCAGAGCUGCUGCACACUGCAUGUGUCCUUCUGCCUCUGAGAACCAAUCCUUUUGCUAAGGAAGAAAAUAAGCUGGAACGAAUACAGUCAUAUCCUCUUCUUGAAGAAAGCUUUCAAUACAGUACCCAGGAAGACCAGGGUCAACGCGGACAAGGAGAAUUCUUUUGACUUUUCUCACUGGGAUUCAACAACACACAUUACAAUUUACUUUUAAAAGUUCAACUAGUAGAACAUCUGUUCAGAUUGAAGAUAAUGAUCUCCUGCAUGUUCCCAGAUGUUUGGGAUGCUCAGAACUGUGGGCUCCAAGAAGUCAAGAUGACCCAUGAUGAUCAUUAAAGGGAACCGAGUCACGUGGUGGUCUCUGGUGCCUCUCUGAUGUUUGAGGUCUCAUCUUUUUAUAAAGAGCUUGGUUCAGGAUUAGAAUCUUCCAACAUUAGAAAUUAAUGACAUUGCUUUGUUGUCUUUGUAUCAACGAUUAUAGAUACUUGCUAUUAUACAAAGGCAAGGUUGGUUUUUUACUGAGCGUGGGGGUGUACAAUUUCAGUUUAUAACAAAUUUAUAUAAAAACCAGAGACAACUCCAAUAAAAGUGUUCUAAUGGUACAAGAUUAAUUAGAGUUUGGAAGGAGUUCUCUGACUCAUUCUUGGUAUGGCUGAUUAUAUGUCAUUCAAUCAUUCUCAAUUGAUAAAUAAAUAGGGUUUUUGUUUUUUUCACCCAGGAGUUGUUUUAAAAAAUUGCUUUGCUGUUAGAACAAUGUUGCAAUGAAUAUCCUGACUUUUAUACUUUGAUUUCUAUAGAAUACGUUGUCCAAAGUGAGGUUUCCAGACCAAAUUAUCUUGUGUAUUUUUAAUUUUAAUAGAUUGUUUCCAGAUCAUUUUCAAAAAUGUUGAAAUGUCAUACUCUAAUGAGCAAUAUAUGAAAUGGAAUAUUCUCCCACA